CCUACGGGAGGCAGCAGUGAGGAAUAUUGGUCAAUGGGCGGGAGCCUGAACCAGCCAAGCCGCGUGAGGGAAGAAGGUACAGCGUAUCGUAAACCUCUUUUGUCAGGGAACAAAGGCGGGGACUAGUCCCCGGCUGAGGGUACCUGAAGAAAAAGCAUCGGCUAACUCCGUGCCAGCAGCCGCGGUAGUACGGAGGAUGCGAGCGUUAUCCGGAUUUAUUGGGUUUAAAGGGUGCGCAGGCGGCCGGUUAAGUCAGCGGUAAAAGCCCGAGGCUCAACCCCGGCGAGCCGUUGAAACUGGCGGGCUGGAGUUGGAGAGAGGUACGCGGAAUGCGCGGUGUAGCGGUGAAAUGCUUAGAUAUCGCGCAGAACCACGAUUGCGAAGGCAGCGUACCGGCUCCACACUGACGCUGAGGCACGAAAGCGUGGGUAUCGAACAGGAUUAGAUACCCCUGUAGUC
rnacentral:rRNA from 1 species